rnacentral:rRNA from 1 species
UACGGAGGGGGCUAGCGUUGUUCGGAAUUACUGGGCGUAAAGCGCACGUAGGCGGCGAUUUAAGUCAGAGGUGAAAGCCCGGGGCUCAACCCCGGAAUUGCCUUUGAGACUGGAUUGCUAGAAUCUUGGAGAGGCGAGUGGAAUUCCGAGUGUAGAGGUGAAAUUCGUAGAUAUUCGGAAGAACACCAGUGGCGAAGGCGGCUCGCUGGACAAGUAUUGACGCUGAGGUGCGAAAGCGUGGGGAGCAAACAGGG